GGACAAUCUUGGAGGGAGGGCGACCCGGGCGCGAGGAGGCGCUGUGCAGACUGAAGAACGGCGUCUGAGGCGAAAGUGGAGGCUCCCUGGUGGCAUGUGGCACUGGAGAGAAGCCGGCCACUCUGUCGGAGAAUGUUGGAGGACUACCUAGCCCGUGGUCAAAGGGUGGAGGAGGAAGCCACAGAAAGGAUUUGAGCAGGAGACGUCACUUUUCGGGUUUGCGUCUGAAGCAAGAUCACUCUGGCUCCUAUUUGGAGGACUGGAUCGGAGUGGGAGACUAAAAACUGUAAAAGUUGUUCAAGUGAGUGUCAACCAUGAAACAAGUAGUAAUUGGAAAAAGGAAAAAGGUCUCAAGUGAGAUUUAGUGGGGCACUGAAGAUGGAGAAAAUUGGAAUAAAAUGGAGUUAAUUCUUUUUUUAAACUUAAAAUUUAACUUGCUGUAAAAUGUAUGUAAUUAAUUGUCCAUUUUUAAGUUUGUGGUUCAGUGGCACAGUGAAGUAUAUUCACUUUGCUCUGCAGUCACCCCAACCAUCCUUUUCCAGAAUAUUUGUCUUGCAAAACCGAAACUUUGUACCCAUUGACCUCCUUACCCCUAG